UAAGACAUUUUGCAACCCAAGGAAAGGGUUGCCUUCAUCCAUUCCUUACUAGCAGCUCAAAAAGGUGAAUAAACCUAUCACAUGUUUGAGUUGCUGUUAAUAUCAUCAUUAGCAAGUAUAUUGUAUCACACAUAGAAAGACUGAACAACACUUUAAAUAAAUUAAUUUUUCACAAAAAUACAUCUUCAGCAAAAGUGAAUCCUUUUUAAAGAGAGCUUAACCGAGUAACUUAAGGCAAUAUAUAAGAAAAUAAAAAUACCUAGGACUAAAAUGAUAUGUUUGUACAGAUUCUGUUUCAUCAAUUAAACCUUGCUAACUUUGUUUUUUUCCUUCAGUGACACGGAAUUAUUAUUUGAAGAAGCUGUCUGAAAUGACUUUCUAAGCAAAGACUUCAUUUGGAUUCCAAGGACCUGGGAUGCCAAACGUCAGCAAGUGAAAUGUGCCUCCAUGAUACUAAUUCCUGAUCAUCACCAGAGGACCAGUUGCACAAUGCAUGAAAAAACAUCAUUAUGAGUGGCUAUAACGAUAGUAGAAAGAUCAUCCUACUAGGAAUGAGGAUAUUCUGUUUAGUUACAGCCUUUAAAAAAGCAGUGUAAACCUGAGACUUUGCAACUGGCAAGCAUUCUGGACCACAACAUCCCACAAUGCACUGGUGAUAACUUUCCUCCCAGACAGAUAUCAGCUAACCACAGUGUACAAUCAGCUGCCCACAUUGGAAGACACAAAUCAGAAAACCACUGUUCCAUAAUCACAGAAUUGAAAGAACUGCAUACGUAAAAUGACAGGCUAUUAAUUCUGGUUUGGAAAGCCUGAA